rnacentral:rRNA from 1 species
AACGUAGGUGGCAAGCGUUGUCCGGAAUUACUGGGUGUAAAGGGAGCGCAGGCGGGACGGUAAGUUGAAUGUGAAAACUAUGGGCUCAACCCAUAGAUUGCGUUCAAAACUAUCGUUCUUGAGUGAUGUAGAGGCAGGCGGAAUUCCCGGUGUAGCGGUGGAAUGCGUAGAUAUCGGGAGGAACACCAGUGGCGAAGGCGGCCUGCUGGGCAUUAACUGACGCUGAGGCUCGAAAGUGUGGGGAGCAAACAGGAUUAGAUACCCUGGUAGUCCACACCGUAAACGAUGAUUACUAGGUGUGGGGGGAUAGACCCCCUCCGUGCCGCAGCAAACGCAAUAAGUAAUCCACCUGGGGAGUACGGCCGCAAGGCUGAA